GAUGAACGCUGGCGGCGUGCCUAAUACAUGCAAGUCGAGCGAACGGACGAGAAGCUUGCUUCUCUGAUGUUAGCGGCGGACGGGUGAGUAACACGUGGAUAACCUACCUAUAAGACUGGGAUAACUUCGGGAAACCGUAGCUAAUACCGGAUAAUAUUUUGAACCGCAUGGUUCAAAAGUGAAAGACGGUCUUGCUGUCACUUAUAUAUGGAUCCGCGCUGCAUUAGCUAGUUGGUAAGGUAACGGCUUACCAAGGCAACGAUGCAUAGCCGACCUGAGAGGGUGAUCGGCCACACUGGAACUGAGACACGGUCCAGACUCCUACGGAGGCAGCAGUAGGGAAUCUUCCGCAAUGGGCGAAAGCCUGACGGAGCAACGCCGCGUGAGUGAUGAAGGUCUUCGGAUCGUAAAACUCUGUUAUUAGGGAAGAACAUAUGUGUAAGUAACUGUGCACAUCUUGACGGUACCUAAUCAGAAAGCCACGGCUAACUACGUG
rnacentral:rRNA from 1 species